rnacentral:lncRNA from 1 species
ACGGAUUUUGCGAGGAAACUAGUUGUAGCUAUUAGCGAGGGCAUGGUUACAGAGUGUUCUGUCGCGCAAUAGCAACAUCAUUGCUACAAAGUGUUCUAUUGCUAAAUAGCUACAGAGUUUAGCUACUAUAUUUCUUCAGCUAAGUCAUAGCCAUAUAAAUAAAUAAAUUUAAAAAAAAAUCAUAAAACAUUUUUGAAUUAAUUCAUUAAAAUUAUAAUACAAAUAUGGUUUAUAUACAUCUUACAUGUAUAGACAUAUAUAUCACGCGCUCCGUCACACGCUGCGUCACCGGCUCAUCCAUGCUCCGUCACCGGCUCAUCCACGCUCCGUCACCGGCUCAUCCACGCUCCGUCACCGGCUCAUCCACGCUCCGUCACCGGCUCAUCCACGCUCCGUC